GACUCACUCAACUUGGUGGUGAUGGAAUUUUUCCGCCUCGUCACAACCUCCUUGAGUGAGUCA
rnacentral:pre_miRNA from 1 species